CCUGGGAACUGCGUUNUGAACUGGGUGACUAGAGUGUGUCAGAGGGAGGUAGAAUUCCACGUGUAGCAGUGAAAAGCGUAGAGAUGUGGAGGAAUACCGAUGGCGAAGGCAGCCUCCUGGGAUAACACUGACGUUCAUGCCCGAAAGCGUGGGUAGCAAACAGGAUUAGAUACCCUGGUAGUCCACGCCCUAAACGAUGUCGAUUAGCUGUUGGGCAGCAUGACUGCUUAGUAGCGAAGCUAACGCGUGAAAUCGACCGCCUGGGGAGUACGGUCGCAAGAUUAAAACUCAAAGGAAUUGACGGGGACCCGCACAAGCGGUGGAUGAUGUGGAUUAAUUCGAUGCAACGCGAAGAACCUUACCUGGUCUUGACAUGUACGGAACCCUCCAGAGACGGAGGGGUGCCUUCGGGAGCCGUAACACAGGUGCUGCAUGGCUGUCGUCAGCUCGUGUCGUGAGAUGUUGGGUUAAGUCCCGCAACGAGCGCAACCCUUGUCAUUAGUUGCCAUCAUUAAGUUGGGCACUCUAAUGAGACUGCCGGUGACAAGCCGGAGGAAGGUGGGGAUGACGUCAAGUCCUCAUGGCCCUUAUGACCAGGGCUUCACACGUCAUACAAUGGUCGGUACAGAGGGUAGCCAAGCCGCGAGGUGGAGCCAAUCUCACAAAACCGAUCGUAGUCCGGAUUGCACUCUGCAAC
rnacentral:rRNA from 1 species